rnacentral:tRNA from 1 species
GGUCUCAUAGUUCAACGGAUAGAAUAGAAGUUUCCUAAACUUUAGAUGCAGGUUCGAUUCCUGCUGAGACCA